GUCGAGAUAGCCGAGUGGUUAAGGCGUUGGACUCGAAAUCCAAUGGGGUUUCCCCGCGCAGGUUCGAACCCUGCUCUCGACG
rnacentral:tRNA from 1 species